AAUAGAUACCCCUGGUAGUCCACGCCGUAAACGAUGAAUGUUAGCCGUCGGGCAGUUUACUGUUCGGUGGCGCAGCUAACGCAUUAAACAUUCCGCCUGGGGAGUACGGUCGCAAGAUUAAAACUCAAAGGAAUUGACGGGGGCCCGCGACAAGCGGUGGAGCAUGUGGUUUAAUUCGAAGCAACGCGCAGAACCUUACCAGCCCUUGACAUCCCGAUCGCGGAUUACGGAGACGUUUUCCUUCAGUUCGGCUGGAUCGGAGACAGGUGCUGCAUGGCUGUCGUCAGCUCGUGUCAUGAGAUGUUGGGUUAAGUCCCGCAACGAGCGCAACCCUCGCCCUUAGUUGCCAGCAUUUAGUUGGGGCACUCUAAGGGGACUGCCGGUGAUAAGCCGAGAGGAAGGUGGGGAUGACGCCAAGUCCUCAUGGCCCUUACGGGCUGGGCUACACACGUGCUACAAUGGUGGUGACAGUGGGCAGCGAGACCGCGAGGUCGAGCUAAUCUCCAAAAAGCCAUCUCAGUUCGGAUUGCUA
rnacentral:rRNA from 1 species